ACAUACAAUGGAGAGUUUGAUCCUGGCUCAGGAUGAACGCUAGCGGGAGGCCUAACACAUGCAAGCCGAGCGGUAGAAG
rnacentral:rRNA from 1 species